rnacentral:rRNA from 1 species
AUUGAACGCUGACGGCAGGCCUAACACAUGCAAGUCGAACGAGUGGCGGACGGGUGAGUAAUGUCUGGGAAACUGCCUGAUGGAGGGGGAUAACUACUGGAAACGGUAGCUAAUCCCGCAUACCAUCAGAUGUACCCAGAUGGGAUUAGCUUGUUGGUGGGGUAACGCCUCACCAAGGCGACGAUCCCUAGCUGGUCUGAGAGGAUGACCAGCCACACGUGAACGGAGACACGGGCCAGACUCCUACGGGAGGCAGCAGUGGGGAAGAGUGCACAAUGGGCGCAAGCCUGAUGCAGCCAUGCCGCGUGUAUGAAGAAGGCCUUCGGGUUGUAAAGUACUUUCAGCAGUGAGGCGUUACCCGCAGAAGAAGCACCGGCUAACUCCGUGCCAGCAGCCGCGGUAAUUC